GUAAUAAUUCACAAGAAUCUAACCUUUACAAGUAAAACAAAGUAAGCUCUUUCCUCCCAACACGACAUUAAGUCAAUUCAUGUAGAUAAAAAUUUAAUUACAUUGAAUGUUCUAAGAAAGGCAAUUCCUCAAUAAUUCAUGCUAUGGCUAACAUCAUGCAUAACAUUUUUACACUCUAUUUGGGAGAGGCACAUGGAGGUCUUUUAAAGUUAAGUAAGGUAAUGAAAAGUAAGGUAUUAAAAUCUCUCUAACCUACCAA
rnacentral:misc_RNA from 1 species